AGGAAAAAGUGUGUAGGUACUACAAGAAACUUGACAUAUAGCUACGGCAAAUCUCUGUUGGUAAACUCUGUUGGUAAUCCUAGUUUCUCACGUUGGACCUCCUCCCGCAACUGCCGAAUUCAGACUCAUCAAACAAGGCGCCCAAGAUGUUGCCACUCGUCUUCUAAGCGAUGCUACUCCCUCCGAUAAUUGUUCUCGAUUGCUCCCCUUACAAUUUUAUUGGUUAGGUUUCGCCUAUUUAUUUAAUUUUUCUAUUCGAUUUCUAUGACAUGAUUCAAAGGAUUGAAAUCUGGUAGGUGUCAGGCAAGAUUCCACUGAUUAGGGUUCAAGCAAGAAGAUUGAAAUCUCUAAUCGGAGGAUGGGUGUCAUAAUCAAGUACCUUCAGUGACAACCUGGUGCUAAAAUCUAAGUCAAUCGUGGUAUGGAUGCUACCCUAAUUUUCCUAAUAGAUUUGUGGCUCUCUUAAUUGUGGUUAGGUUAAGAUUCCUAUGAAUUAGUAUGGAUUUCAAAUUCAGGCUAACUUGAAGGAUUUUUUUUGUGUGGAUGUGAUCAUUGCAAGGUGAAGUGGGUUUAUUUUUUUAAUGAAACAAAGUUUCUUUUGGGAUUUUUGUUGUGUUUUUUUGUGUGUUUUUAACCGGUUGAAACUGUAGGUAAUGACAUUGUUACUCGAAGAAUGACCGGGUAAAGUGGCUUUGAUGAGUUUCGAUGAAGAUCCCAAAUGACAAGAAGGGUAAAGGAGUUAUGUAAACCACUUAUUUGGUUGUUUGAGUUCUCUUGGACUACAUUCAUUGUUUGUUCUUUUACACUGAAUAUUCAGUUGAUAAUUUGCAGUGAAUAACUCCUUUAGAAAGUCAUGAUUUUUUAAUCUUGAUGAUUUUAAUGUUAAUCAAUCUCCUCGUAUAUUUUCCAGUCUUGUUAACUGUAAGGGUUCAUGAUAAAAGUUCUUAUCUAUUUCUUUUUUGUAUCGGUGUCACAUCAUGAGGUACUCUUUGCUCUGUUUGGGGUAAUUUGGCAAUGCUUCUCACUUGUACAAUCAACGUUUUGUUUCAGAUGCAUAUAGAUGAUUUUAGUGGCUCUGUUUCUGGUGUAUAAUCGGCCAACAUGAAAGGCAUCUUCUUGACAAGGUAUGGUUUAUACCUUUUUAUUUAACAUCUAUCAUUUUGCUUUUAAUAAUUUGUUUAUUUGAAUGCACUCUUAACAACUUAUUCUUUGGUGUGUUUUGUGAAUAUGUAAGUGUCCUUGAGGAACAAAAUAUGCAUAUGGCAUGUGGCUGCCUGAAGAAUAAGCACACUAUGUCCAUCUCGGAGCCGGGUAAUUCCUUUUGCACCAAUUCUCUAUGAUUGUAAAUUCAAUUCUUCAGAGGUUUGGGAUGUGUGAAUAGAUGCACAAUCUAGACUUUUCUUGUUAAGGAGACUGACAAGCUUAUUCGAUUGGAGGCAACUAUGAGAAUCAUUUUUCUGUUUUGUUGAGGUUCUUUAAGUUUUUAAUGAAUGAGACAUAACAAUUUAAAGCUUGAGAAGGCGCAUACAUUUGGGAUUGUUGUAAAGCAUUGGCUCUUGGAUCAUCCAGUGUACUUGUAGCUCUUGGAUCAUCCGGUGUACUUGUUGAUGAAUUGGUAACCAUCACCAGGUUCUCUUAAUACUUCAGUUAUGGUUAAUGUUUAAUGUUCACCUAAGUUGUGUAUAAUGUCAAUUUGUGUGCCAUUGUAAAAUUUUCCUUCCUUUUGGCUAAGUUGAGUUUCCAACUUGUAUUCUUUUAUUUUCAAUAGGUUCUAGAUGUUUCUGGUCCCUGAGCAAACCAAUUUUCUAAGUCCAGACUAUUGAAGAUGGAAGAGGAAUGAAGAUUAGAGACUUUUUUCUUUUUCUUGACAGAACAAAUUUGUAAAUUUAGUGGAUAUCAUUUUAUGUCUUUAAAUACAUUAUAUCACUCUUAGCUUGAUAUUUAUAACUAUAUGUAAUUUGACAUACUUGUAAGACUAGUUAGUUCUUAAAUAUAAUUUAAAGUUUUCUUUUA